CUGUCGCCGCCGCCUCCUCCUGCAAGCCCACCGCGCGGCCCGCCUUCUUCACCUCCACGAAGGCGCUGCGCUUCGCCUCGCCAGUCUCCGGGCUGGGCGGCGCGAAGAGCCGGCCGUUCUCCUCCAGGCCGAAGUAGCUGCCGGCGGCGCGGUACUGCUGCGGCGUGCACACCAACUCCUCCUUGGAGGUCGCCAGCGGCCUCUCGGAGAAGCGCGCACGGCCGCCCGCCAGCCCCGCGCCGCCGCCCUCCGCCGCCGCCUCCUCUGGGAACCGCCUCUUGCCUUUGCAGCCGCCGGUGGCGACGCCGUCGGGACUCAGCUCCGCCUCCUGGUGGCCGCUGCCGCCACUGCCGACGCCCGGGGCCGCUACGCAACUGCUGCUUCCCCGGGAGUUUUCCAGUUCCCGAGCCAAGUUGUGGAAGUCCGUGGACGGCUUGGCGCUGCCGGCACCCGCGGAGCCCGGCGGGUUGCUCGCCUCCGGGGAUGACGCGGGGUAGUGGUGUAUGGGGCCGGCUUUGCAGAACUUGGGGCCCGGGAUCAACGGCGCCUCCUGUUGCUGCUGCUGUUGCUGCUGCUGUUGCUCUUUACCACCGCCGCCGCCGCCGUGGUCCUUAGUGCCCAAGCCGCCCCCUUGCUCGUCUUGGGGAUUCGCAUCAGUGCUGUGAAGUCUCUUGGGGCAGCGGAAUCGCAGAUGUGCCACAUAGGGGAACUCAAACUGGAAACGUUGGCUGCAUUCCAGGCAUGUGUAAGGAGACGACCCUGCUUAGUGAGCAAACACACACACACACACACACACACACACACACACACACACACACACACACACCCCACAUGGUUAGUUAGCAUCGCCCCUAGGCCACUUAGCCAUCCUCCCCAUAACAAAUCCACUUUAUCUUUCUGGGCUGAGUGCCCAAAAAAAUGAAUACACUAUCCUAUUUGGUGCAACUUACUUUCUUGAUUUGUGCAUUUACUAAGUCAAACGCUCCCCAACUUUUCCUUCCCCUUCUGUCCUAGUUCCAUUCGGGACAACACCUCAGAAGCUUCGUCCACCCUAUGAUGUGCAAGGUGAGCCCAGGCACCCGAGCCAACCUACCGUUCAUUUUGUGAGCUCUAGACGGGCAGAGCAAGAGCAAUUCAGUCAGUUCUUUCCCGUACCAAACUAGUAACUCUUCAUCUUUGGCAAUCCUGCGGAGAGAGCGGUAGAACAGCUGUCCAUUUUUUAUAUAAGCUUCGAGAUUCUGUUCUUCCUUAUCUCGGGCUGAUUGGACCAGCCGCAGCCACAUGAGACCUUCUGAGGAACCAUUUGCCGCCGAAGUGUCUACCUACAGUAUUUAAGAAAGACAAGAAGAGAGGGAUCCACGUGAAAGACGGCAACCAGAGAAACCAGAGAUAUUUCAUCUGUCUGGCUUUUGUUCUUUCCAAACAAUUAUCUGAAACCAAGUUUGCAAAAGUUGACCAAAGUCGAACUGCAUCCCUGCAUUUGUGGUCAAUGGGCACAGUGGCCAUCCUUUGCAAUAUUGGGUCAGUCUUACAGAGUAGCCUCUUUAGAAUCUCCCUUUCAGUUACCUCACAUGACAAAAGGAGAGGAAAUUUCCCGUGUUUCAGAAGUAAAAGGCAAGUUCGGGUCUUAGUAAUUAUUCUAUGGCACUCACGCCCAUCUUCCUAACUGACAUGAAGGACUAACAGCUUUACUUCAUGAUGAAAGACUAGGAACUCUGGGGUGGGGAAACUGGGAGUAACAUUUAGCAUGUAAAUAAAU
rnacentral:lncRNA from 1 species